GUUAUUUCCAAGGUCCUUAUUGGCUGACGAAUGCAGCUCAGCCUUGUUCUUUUCUAUUCUCUUAAAGUAUUCUUUGAGGAGAGUUUUCACAUGAGGAAAGUGCUUCAGAGAGGAAAAUAUGUCAGGACUGAAAUAAAUACUGUAUGGACAAAUGGAUGGAACUGAUAAAACAAACAAACAAACAAAAAACUGAACAAAAUGGAAGGAAAUCACUGGGAGAUAUUUCCGAAGAAUCUCAUGGCCCUGGUUCCCACGAGCAUGUCACUAACCAUUUCCUGGGCCUUAUCACCGGGAGGAAAAAAAGGAGCGCCUUUGAAAAGUGGAAACAAAACAUCAGGCCCCAUUGUUGUGUGACUUCCCCGGCCACAAUCUGGGCUCUCCAUCGCUCUACACGCGGAGACUACAAACACGCCCUAAUACAGAUACUCCAAUCCGCAAUUUGACCAGGACAUUUAUUGUUCUGUAUCUGCAAUCUCUGCUGCGUGUUUGUGGCUUUUAAAUCAUCUGUGUUUUUUUUUUUUUUUUUUUUUUUAUUACUCUUUCCAGGCUCAGAGCAAGUCAAAAGCCUCUGAUGGCGGUCAACACCGAGAGAAGCGACUGAGUCAGUUUGCAAACUCCUGUGUGCCUUCUUGUGGGGAGUUCACGGCGGAGGAGGCAGCCUUGCUCACCUUUUUCUGUCUUUUCAACUUCACUCUGUCCUCUUGUUCCCCUUCCCCAGCUUUAGACCCUCUUUUCCUCCUCUCGUUUCACCUUCUCUCUUUCUUCAGUUCUGCCUUGGUCUGUCCCUCUUUGAUUCAUUUGUCAACUCUUGCUCCUACUUAAAGGAUUGGC
rnacentral:lncRNA from 1 species